CCUCCCUAGUAUAAAAGUACAAACGGCCUCCAACCGUCUAGACCCAGUCCAGCCUGGGGGAAGGUAUCA
rnacentral:tRNA from 1 species